GUGAGAUGUUGGGUUAAGUCCCGCAACGAGCGCAACCCUCACUUUUAGUUGCCAUCAUUAAGUUGGACACUCUGAAAGAACUGCCAGUGAUAAGCUGGAGGAAGGUGGGGAUGACGUCAAGUCCUCAUGGCCCUUACGUGUUGGGCUACACACGUGCUACAAUGGUAUCUACAACAGGAAGCAAGACUGCGAAGUUAAGCAAAUCCUUAAAAGAUACCUCAGUUCGGAUUGCACUCUGCAACUCGAGUGCAUGAAGCUGGAAUUACUAGUAAUCGUGGAUCAGCGUGCCACGGUGAAUGCGUUCCCGGGUCUUGUACACACCGCCCGUCACAUCAUGGGAGUUGGUUCUACCUUAAGGCAAGGUUUCAAACCCUUGACCACGGUAUAGUCAGCGACUGGGGUGAAGUCGUAACAAGGUAGCCUA
rnacentral:rRNA from 1 species